rnacentral:lncRNA from 1 species
AACCUGAAAUGCUGUCACAUUCCCAGCUGUCAUCAGGCCUGGCUAAUAGCACAAGCAUGCCAGCGCUAUAUUUCAGAGAGAAGGAUUAGCUACACAGCGUUUCAGCUCAACGGUGGGCCCAGGCCGCAAUAAGAGGGCCGUAGUAUUUAUGUGCGCUUACACUGGCGUCUCUGGAGUACGGUGAAGAGUGCAAAGCCAGAACUGAGGGGGCCGUUAUGUGUCGAGGGAGCCAGACUCUAUUAGCAACUGUCCUGCCAAGAUCAGUGCCUCAGACACAUACUGCACUAGACCUGAAAGCAAAUCCAAUGUCUGCUGCAGAGAGCUAUUCUCCAGAUGUGACUCUCCAACCGGCUUCUGGUGAAGGCCUUUACAUCUCAGGUAUAUAAUUACACCACUUUUAAAAUUGAAGUGAUGAGAGCUCUGUGAAAAAUGAAAAGGCCAUAUGACAAAAAAAAAAAAAAAAAAAAAAAUGUCUGUCUCAGGCGAUGGUCAGCCCAGUUGAAAACUUUAGUAGACUUUCUGGUCAUUUAGUGAGAAAGAUUCUUUCUUUUUCUGCACUUUUCAAAAGCCUUUCUAUCAUUUAAACACUCACCAGAGUUUUCUGUAGUGUAUAGACAUACAGUUCAACCAAAAAUUAAAACUGUCUAAAAUUUCAGUCACCCUUAGACCAUACAAAAUGUAGAUCCUUGAUAGAAACAGAUUUGGAGAAAUUUAGCAUUACAUUACUUGUUUACCAAUGGAUCCGCUUUCAGUGAAUGGGUGCCGUCAGAAUGAGAGUCCAAACAGCGGAUUAAAACAUCACAAUAAUCCACAAGUAAUCCACAUCACUCCAGUCCAACAUCCAGUCCAUAAUUCUUGAAAAAUUUUCUUUCAAUGAAAAAGAGCAUUACCUAUAUUUGUUUAUAACAAAUUUCUAUUUGUAUUGCUAUUCAAUUGACUGUUCCUUUAAACAAAGACACUCAUAGAACUCUUCCUGCUGUCAUAUGUAGCCACUUUUGGGCAAAGCUGCUUUCGAAUAAGACUGCAGUGGGCAAUGUGCUAAACCUUCUAUUCAUAUUGAUUCUGACAAUAGCAAUGAAUCUGACACUAUGCUCAGACCACAAUGUGUUGUGCAAUGUGCAUGCACACACAUCCACACACUAAGUGG